rnacentral:rRNA from 1 species
AUAGAGAUCAAGCGUCUGAAGGGCAUCUGGUGGAUGCCUUGGCACUGAGAGGCGAUGAAGGACGUAGCACGUUGCGAUAAGUCACGGGGAGCCGCGAGCAGGCUUUGAUCCGUGAAUUUCCGAAUGGGGAAACCCACCGCGCAAGCGGUAUCCCACACUGAAUCCAUAGGUAUGGGAAGCGAACCCGGCGAACUGAAACAUCUAAGUAGCCGGAGGAAAGGACAUCAACCGAGACUCCGCUAGUAGUGGCGAGCGAACGCGGACCAGGCCAGUCAUUCGAUCUACAUAACCGGAACCGUCUGGAAAGUCGGGCCAUAGCGGGUGAUAGCCCCGUACGGAUAAACCGGAUCGGAUGCUCGAGUAGGGCGGGGCACGUGAAACCCUGUCUGAACAUGGGGGGACCACCCUCCAAGCCUAAGUACUCCUCAG